rnacentral:rRNA from 1 species
GGAGUACUACGCUAACCCCAAGGAUACAAGCCAUGCAAGCAAACACGAGGUGAACGAAGGGGCGGACGGCUCGGUACAACGGUGGGAGUCGGACCGGGGGUGAAGGCUAGACGGAUACGGCUGGCAACCCAGCACCAAGACGAGUGCUCAAGAGCGAGGAGGGAGAGGACGCGAAGGAGCGAAUGCCCGGAGGAGGUUCCGAGGUAUUACCUGGUCGGUAGAGUAGUGGUCUACGGAGGGGAUGAUG